rnacentral:rRNA from 1 species
UUAAGUUAGAAAGGGCGCACGGUGGAUGCCUUGACACUAGGAGUCGAUGAAGGACGGGACUAACGCCGAUAUGCUUCGGGGAGCUGUAAGUAAGCUUUGAUCCGAAGAUUUCCGAAUGGGGAAACCCACCAUACGUAAUGGUAUGGUAUCCUUAUCUGAAUACAUAGGGUAAGGAAGACAGACCCAGGGAACUGAAACAUCUAAGUACCUGGAGGAAGAGAAAGCAAAUGCGAUUUCCUGAGUAGCGGCGAGCGAAACGGAACAUAGCCCAAACCAAGAGGCUUGCCUCUUGGGGUUGUAGGACAUUCUAUACGGAGUUACAAAGGAACGAGGUAGACGAAGCGACCUGGAAAGGUCCGUCGUAGAGGGUAACAACCCCGUAGUCGAAACUUCGUUCUCUCUUGAAUGUAUCCUGAGUACGGCGGAACACGUGAAAUUCCGUCGGAAUCUGGGAGGACCAUCUCCCAAGGCUAAAUACUCCCUAGUGAUCGAUAGUGAACCAGUACCGUGAGGGAAAGGUGAAAAGCACCCCGGAAGGGGAGUGAAAGAGAUCCUGAAACCGUGUGCCUACAAAUAGUCAGAGCCCGUUAACGGGUGAUGGCGUGCCUUUUGUAGAAUGAACCGGCGAGUUACGAUCCCGUGCGAGGUUAAGCUGAAGAGGCGGAGCCGCAGCGAAAGCGAGUCUGAAUAGGGCGUUUAGUACGUGGUCGUAGACCCGAAACCAGGUGAUCUACCCAUGUCCAGGGUGAAGUUCAGGUAACACUGAAUGGAGGCCCGAACCCACGCACGUUGAAAAGUGCGGGGAUGAGGUGUGGGUAGCGGAGAAAUUCCAAUCGAACCUGGAGAUAGCUGGUUCUCCCCGAAAUAGCUUUAGGGCUAGCCUUAAGUGUAAGAGUCUUGGAGGUAGAGCACUGAUUGGACUAGGGGUCCUCAUCGGAUUACCGAAUUCAGUCAAACUCCGAAUGCCAAUGACUUAUCCUUAGGAGUCAGACUGCGAGUGAUAAGAUCCGUAGUCAAAAGGGAAACAGCCCAGACCGCCAGCUAAGGUCCCAAAGUGUGUAUUAAGUGGAAAAGGAUGUGGAGUUGCUUAGACAACUAGGAUGUUGGCUUAGAAGCAGCCACCAUUUAAAGAGUGCGUAAUAGCUCACUAGUCGAGUGACUCUGCGCCGAAAAUGUACCGGGGCUAAAUACACCACCGAAGCUGCGGAUUGAUACCAAUGGUAUCAGUGGUAGGGGAGCGUUCUAAGGACAGUGAAGUCAGACCGGAAGGACUGGUGGAGUGCUUAGAAGUGAGAAUGCCGGUAUGAGUAGCGAAAGACGGGUGAGAAUCCCGUCCACCGAAUGCCUAAGGUUUCCUGAGGAGGCUCGUCCGCUCAGGGUUAGUCAGGACCUAAGCCGAGGCCGACAGGCGUAGGCGAUGGACAACAGGUUGAUAUUCCUGUACCACCUCUUUAUCGUUUGAGCAAUGGAGGGACGCAGAAGGAUAGAAGAAGCGUGCGAUUGGUUGUGCACGUCCAAGCAGUUAGGCUGAUAAGUAGGCAAAUCCGCUUAUCGUGAAGGCUGAGCUGUGAUGGGGAAGCUCCUUAUGGAGCGAAGUCUUUGAUUCCCCGCUGCCAAGAAAAGCUUCUAGCGAGAUAAAAGGUGCCUGUACCGCAAACCGACACAGGUAGGCGAGGAGAGAAUCCUAAGGGGUGCGAGAGAACUCUGGUUAAGGAACUCGGCAAAAUGACCCCGUAACUUCGGGAGAAGGGGUGCUUUCUUAACGGAAAGCCGCAGUGAAUAGGCCCAAGCGACUGUUUAGCAAAAACACAGCUCUCUGCGAAGCCGUAAGGCGAAGUAUAGGGGGUGACACCUGCCCGGUGCUGGAAGGUUAAGGAGAGGGGUUAGCGUAAGCGAAGCUCUGAACUGAAGCCCCAGUAAACGGCGGCCGUAACUAUAACGGUCCUAAGGUAGCGAAAUUCCUUGUCGGGUAAGUUCCGACCCGCACGAAAGGUGUAACGAUUUGGGCACUGUCUCAACCAGAGACUCGGUGAAAUUAUAGUACCUGUGAAGAUGCAGGUUACCCGCGACAGGACGGAAAGACCCCGUGGAGCUUUACUGUAGCCUGAUAUUGAAUUUUGGUACAGUUUGUACAGGAUAGGCGGGAGCCUUUGAAACCGGAGCGCUAGCUUCGGUGGAGGCGCUGGUGGGAUACCGCCCUGACUGUAUUGAAAUUCUAACCUACGGGUCUUAUCGACCCGGGAGACAGUGUCAGGUGGGCAGUUUGACUGGGGCGGUCGCCUCCUAAAGUGUAACGGAGGCGCCCAAAGGUUCCCUCAGAAUGGUUGGAAAUCAUUCGUAGAGUGCAAAGGCAUAAGGGAGCUUGACUGCGAGACCUACAAGUCGAGCAGGGACGAAAGUCGGGCUUAGUGAUCCGGUGGUUCCGCAUGGAAGGGCCAUCGCUCAACGGAUAAAAGCUACUCCGGGGAUAACAGGCUUAUCUCCCCCAAGAGUCCACAUCGACGGGGAGGUUUGGCACCUCGAUGUCGGCUCAUCGCAUCCUGGGGCUGUAGUCGGUCCCAAGGGUUGGGCUGUUCGCCCAUUAAAGCGGUACGCGAGCUGGGUUCAGAACGUCGUGAGACAGUUCGGUCCCUAUCCGUCGUGGGCGUAGGAAAUUUGAGAGGAGCUGUCCUUAGUACGAGAGGACCGGGAUGGACGCACCGCUGGUGUACCAGUUGUUCUGCCAAGGGCAUAGCUGGGUAGCUAUGUGCGGAAGGGAUAAGUGCUGAAAGCAUCUAAGCAUGAAGCCCCCCUCAAGAUGAGAUUUCCCAUAGCGUAAGCUAGUAAGAUCCCUGAAAGAUGAUCAGGUUGAUAGGUUCGAGGUGGAAGCAUGGUGACAUGUGGAGCUGACGAAUACUAAUAGAUCGAGGACUUAACCAU